rnacentral:rRNA from 1 species
CCUGGUUGAUCCUGCCAGUAGUCAUAUGCUUGCCUCAAAGAUUAAGCCAUGCAUGUCUAAGUAUGAACUAAUUCAAACUAUGAAACUGUGGAUGGCUCAUUAAAUCAAUUGUAGUUUUUCUGAUGGUACUGCACUACUCGGAUAAUUGUAGUAAAUCUAGAGCUAAUACGUGCACCAAGUCCUGACUCUUUGGAAGGGAUGCAUUUUUUAGAUAAAAGGCCGGCAUGGGCUUGCCCGCUUCUCCGGUGAAUCAUGAUAACUCGACAGAUUGUAAAACCCUUGUGCUGGGGAUGCUUCAUCAAAUUUUUGCCCAAUCAACUUUUGAUGGUAGGAUGAGGCCUACCAUGGUGGUGACAGGUGACUAAGAAUUAGGGUUUGAUUUUGAAGAGGGAGCCUGAGAAACAGCUACCACAUCCAAGGAAGGCAACAGGCGCGCAAAUUACCCAAUCCUGACAUGGGGAGGUAGUGACAAUAAAUAACAAUAAUUGGCUCAUCAAGUCUGGUAAUUGGAAUGAGCACAAUCGAAAUCCCUUAAUGAGGAUCCAUUGGAGGGCAAGUCUAGUGCCAAAACCUGCGGUAAUUCCAACUUCAAUAGCGUAUAUUUAAGUUGUUGUAGUUAAAAAAGCUCGUAGUUGGAUCUUGGGUCGUAAAGGUCGGUCCGUUUACUCGGUGUGCACCUAACCUUCCGUCCCUUUUGUCAGCAGCAUGCUCCUAGCCUUAAUUGGCUGGAUCGCGGCUCCGACGCUAUUACUUUGAAAAAAUUAGAGUGCUCAAAGCAAGCUUAUUCUCUAAAUACAUUAGCAUGGAAUAACGUGAUAGGUGUCUAGUCCUAUUGUGUUGGCCUUUGGGACCGGAGUAAUGAUUAAUAGGGACUAUCAGGGGCAUUUGUAUUUUGUUUUCAAAGGUGAAAUUCUUGGAUUUAUGAAAGACGGACCACUAUGAAAGCAUUUGCCAGGGAUGUUUUCAUUAAUCAAGAAUGAAAGUUGGGGGCCCGAAGAUGGUCAGAUACCAUCCUAGUCUCAACCAUAAACGAUGCCGACCAGGGAUCAACAGAUGUUACUCUAAGGACUCUGCCAGCACCUUCUGAGAAAUCAGAGUGUUUGGGUUCUAUGGGGAGUAUGUGUCACAAGGUUGAAACUUAAAGGAAUUGAUGGAAGGGCACCACCAGGAGUGGAGCUUGUGUAUUAAUUUGACUCAACACAGGGAAACUUACUUGGUCCAGAAAUAGUAAGGAUUAAUAGAUUGAGAGCUCUUUCUUGAUUUUAUGUGUGGUGGUGUAUGGUCGUUCUUAGUUGGUGGAGUGAUUUGUCUGGUUAAUUUCAAUAACAAACGAGACCUCAGCCUACUAAAUAGCUACGCGGAGGUUCCCCUUCGCGACCAGCUUCUUAGAGGGACUAUGGCCAUUUAGGCCAUGGAAGUUUGAGGCAAUAACAAAUUUGUGAUGUCCUUAGAUGUUUUGGGCUGCACGCAUGCUACACUGAUGUAGCUAAUGAUUUUUUCCUCCUGGUUUGAGAGGACAGAGAAAUCUUCUCAAAUUGCAGCAUGAUGGGGAUAGACCAUCUUAAUUAUUGGUCUUCAACGAGGAAUUCUUAGUAAGCGCAUGUCAUCAACUCGUGUUGACUACGUCCCUACCCUUUGUACACACCGCCCGUCACUCCUACCAUUUGAAUGAUCUGGUGAAGUGUUCAGAUUGCAUCGAUGAUGGUGGUUCGCCACCAUUGAUGUUGUGAUAAGUUAAUUGAACCUUAUCAUUUAUAGGAAGGAGAAGUUGUAACAAGGUUACCGUAGGUGAACCUAUGGUAG